AUAUAUCUGGAAUCUUGCCCACUCUUCUCCCAAGCUAUCUGUCCACUAAAGAUAUGUUUCUAGUUGCCCUGGCAACCAACAAUUGGGCGUAGUUAACUAUUUACAGUUUCCAAAGUGAUUACAAAUGGGUCUCACCUAGCCUCGCCCAUUACCUGUUGGCACUGGAAUGCCCUCUUCAGUCUUGGGAAAGAAGUGACAAAGAGAGAUUCGAAGAAUAUUUGCAGGGGAACAGGACUCCAUCUGACUAAGAAGCCGUGUGCAGCAAGGUGUCUGUAA
rnacentral:lncRNA from 1 species